UACGAAGGGGGCUAGCGUUGUUCGGAUUUACUGGGCGUAAAGCGCAUGUAGGCGGAUUGUUAAGUCGGGGGUGAAAUCCCGGGGCUCAACCCCGGAAUGGCCCUUGAUACUGGGAAGCUUGAGGUCUGGAGAGGCGAGUGGAAUGGCGAGUGUAGAGGUGAAAUUCGUAGAUAUUCGGAAGAACACCAGUGGCGAAGGCGGCUCGCUGGCCCAGUAUUGACGCUGAGGUGCGAAAGCGUGGGGAGCAAACAGG
rnacentral:rRNA from 1 species